UUGUCUUGAAACAUCCUUAAAUCUCUACUUGAACUUCAAUAUGCAACUGAAAAAUGGACCCUGCUCUUCAGGCAGGCUCCUGAUGCUUCUUGAAUUUGUGAGUUGAAGUAACUCUGAAAUUAAUUACCUCGUUCUCCAGGUGGGCACCUGAUUGCAAUUACUUGAAAUAUAUUCCCUCGUUCUCCAGGUGGGCGUCUGAUUGCAAAGACUUGAAAUGUAUUUUCUCGUUCUCCAGGUGGACGCCUGAUUGCAAAAACUUGGACUGUAUUCCCUCGUUCUCCAGGUGGGCACCUGAUUGCAAAGACUUGAAAUGUAUUCCCUCGUUAUCCAGGUGGGCGCCUAAUUGUAAAAACUUGGAUUGCAUUCCCUCGUUCUCCAGGUGGGCGCUUGAUUGCAAAAACUUGGAAUGUAUUCCCUCGCUGUCCAGGUGGGCGCCUGAUUGCAAUUACAUAAAAUAUAUUCCCUCGUUCUCCAGGGGGCGCCUGAUUGCAAAGACUUGAAAUGUACCUAAUUGCAAAAACUGGGAUUGUAUUCCCUCGUUCUCCAGGUGGGCGCUUGAUUGCAAAAACUUGGAAUGUAUUCCCUCGUUGUCCAGGUGGGCGCCUGAUUGCAAUUACAUAAAAUAUAUUCCAUCGUUCUCCAGGUGGGCGCCUGAUUGCAAAGACUUGAAAUGUAUUCCCUCGUUAUCCAGGUGGNNNNNNNNNNNNNNNNNNNNNNNNNNNNNNNNNNNNNNNNNNNNNNNNNNNNNNNNNNNNNNNNNNNNNNNNNNNNNNNNNNNNNNNNNNNNNNNNNNNNNNNNNNNNNNNNNNNNNNNNNNNNNNNNNNNNNNNNNNNAUUCUAUUUCUUCAUACUUGGACAGUAUUCCCUCGUUCUCCAGAUGGGCUCUUGAUUGCAAAGACAUGAAAAGUAUUCCCUCAUUAUCCAGGUGGGCGCCUGAUUGUAAAGACUUGAAAUGUAUUCCCUUGUUAUCCAGGUGGGCGACUGAUUGCAAAGACUUAAAAUGAAUUCCCUCGUUAUCCAGGUGGGCGCCUGAUUGCAAAAACUUGAAAUGUAUUCCCUCGUUAUCCAGGUGGACGCCUGAUACUGCAACAAAACAGACAAAACAAAAGAAACUUUUUCUUCCCCGGUUUGGGAUCUGGGCAUAUUUCUAAGUGUUAAUCGGACCAUAUCACCUACAGAACUAUAAGAAUUUAAAAGCUAAACCCAUUAUCCAAGAGGAUCCUGAGAAUUUUAAAAUCCUGAAUCCCAUUAUCCAGGAGGGUCCUGAAAAUUUUAAAAACUAAAUCCCAUUAUCUAGGAGGGUCCUGAGAAUUUUUAAUAACUAAAUCCCAUAAUCCAGAAGGGUCAUGAGAAUUUUAAAAAGUAAAUCCCAUUAUCCAUGCGGGUCCUGAGAAUUUUUUUUAUUUUUAAAAAACCUAAAUCCCAUUAUCUAGGAGGGUCCUGAGAAUUUUGAAUACUAAGUCCCAUUAUCCAGGAGGAUCCUGAGAAUUAUGAAAUGAAAUCCCAUUAUCCAGGAGAGUCCUGAAAACUAUAUUAAAUCUCAUUAUCUAGGAGGGUCCUGAGAAUUUUAAAAACUAAAUCCCAUUAUCCAGGAGGGUCCUGAGAACUGAGAGUGAACUUACCUGAGACACGCUCUCAUCUUGAAGGAUUCUUAACAGAAUUUCUUGCCCCUGAGCCAUGCUCUCUUCAUGGGGGUCCCUAUGGAUUAACAAAUGUUCUUGCCCCUGUUUCGGACAAAUAAAAUUUGUUAGUUUGAAAACGUGGUGGUUAGUUUGUGGCCUCAUUGUUGAGCGUCUGCUUCCACCACUACCAUACUUCAUUUUGAUUAGCUGCUUCGGGCUAGCAAGGAGUUGUUUGAUCUUUGACUGAAACUAGACCACGAAACCUCUGCAUGGCUUGAGUCCCUCACACUGCUUGUUGCAUUGUAUUUUUGUUUAGAAAGUUGUUGAAUCCUUGUAUUUCCUCAAAAUUCAAGAUUCACUUGAUUGCCUGAACCUUAAUUAUCACCAUAUUGCUCAUUCUGAAUCAUGCCAAUUUUGAUGUGCCUGGCAUGAAUCCGCUUUGUGCAAUUUAGAAGCUGGUAGUAGGCUUUGAAAUCCGUUCCUGCUUGUUUAAUAAGCACUAACUAGGAAGAAACUCAUAAAUAUAGACCUAAGGAGUAAAAUGAAAUGAUUUUUUAACAAAAGGAACAAAUGAAAAUUUUGAACACAAAUGAUUAUGUGGAGAAGAAUGAGAAAGAGAGGACUUAUCUGAGGAAAGUGGCCAGCCCCAAUGAUCAUGCCAUGCAUUUCAGACUGAUCAACCUAAUUCGUCCAACCAAUCAUAUUUUCAGUUCAUGCCAUGUCUUCAUACUUCAAAACCGGACUUUCAUUGAUCCAAUUUCUCUGUAAAGUUAUGAGCCUCAUUCGACUUGUAGUGCCCUAAAAGGGUUUUCACUGACAAGCCUCUAUCAUUUGUUCAUCUCUCAUCUCACCAUCACCUUAUGGUGCCUGAGAGGGUUUUCACCAAUAAGACUCUCUUCUACGAGGGUUUUCACCAAUAAAACUCUCUUAUUUUAAAUUUUCUCUCUUGCGCCCAUGAACAAAGUAUUACCUAUGAUGCAAAUCAUACAUCUAUCUUGCUUGACCCGGCAUCUUCAAAGAUUGAUCGGAAGGUCUUUCUUUGGACCAUAAUUUAGGCUUUUGGACGGGGUUAGAAAGAAAGGGUAGCAUGAAAGCUCAAAAUAAUAUAAGAUGAAAAGGGGUUAAAAUUACAACUUUUGGAAUUAGAUCUCUUCAAAACCAAAACUUCUGCCCCAGUUUCUUUGGGUCUGGGGAAUUUUAAUUUUUAUUGUGAUGGGACCGAACUUUAAGGCUGCCUACAUAUCCUUAAAAGGAAUCAGGUCGAACGUAGUUCAAACGACAAAGUUGCUUGUUUUCUUUUUUUUCUUAUAGUUUUUUUUUCUUUUUUGUUGUUUUUUUUCUUUUCUUUUUGUUUUUCUUGUUUUUUCAUUUUUCUUAUUUUCACUCAUUCAUCAUCAUCUUUAUUCUUUACUUCUGUUGUUGAUUCCAAAAGUGGGGUAUGAAAGAAAAUAAAUAAGGCUCAGAAAGGGUAGCAAAGGAUGAAAGUGUUUAGGUAGCUGAACAAAAUUCCUUCGUCAUUUCAACUUUGAAUAUGCCAAGUACAAAAUAAAACUGAAGGUAAGCAAGAAAAUCAUACAUAGUACCUCUUAACUGCAUCAUAAUUGAUGGCCAUAUCUGCACAUUUGCCUUCUAUGUCUGUUAAAUACAAAGCACCAUUGAACAACACUCUUGUCAACGAAUGGCUCCUAGUUCAACACAUGUGAGAAGGUGUGAUUCUGUUUCAGAUAUGGAUCACUGGAAGGCAUGGUAAUAUUUGUAAACAUGUUUCAAUGAGUAUGAAAAUCCUAACUUAGAACUUGAAACCUUAAAAAGAGACGAGGUCAAAGAACACGCUACUCUAAUGGCUGAAGGCCUUCGACAUACUUAAUCAUAAGUAAAAACAGUAAUAUACUAACUUCUGGUCGACACACUGAAUACACAUGGUAUACUACAGUGAGACAUAGUCCAAACUAAAUUAACCACGACUCAAAUUAACACAUUUAAGCAACUUGAAUAAGCACGUAUAAGAACAUAACUCCAAUCAAAAUUAACCACGAUUCAAAUUAACACAUUUAAGCAACUUGAAUAAGCACGUAUAAGAACAUAACUCCAAUCGAUCUCUUAGACAUAAGCAAAAUUUAACCUUCAAACAUUUAAAGCAAACUGAACACACGAAGAGAAGAUCACUCGGACUGAUUCGGAAUUAACUCAAGAACACCAAUUUUCACAUAAAAAUUGAAUAGGGAGGAAAGGGACCUGAAACGGCAAGAACUUUAAUUAAUUUGCUUGAAUGCCAAAUACAGCUAAGCAAACAUCAACCAAAUUCGAACAAGGCUAAACUGAAUUUGCUCGGCCCAAAUGGAACCGCAAUGAAUCUCGAUUUACAAGCACUAAACAGCUCGAAAAAACUCGACUCCAUGGCAACCUCUGACAAACUCCGUAUUGAACUCGAAAUUCGAAGUGGACUGAAUUUGCUCGGCACGAAUGGAACCGCAAUGAACCUCGAUUUACAAGCACUAAACAACUCGAAAAAACUCGACUCCAUGGCAACCUCUGACAAACUCCGUAUAGAACUCGAAAAUCGAAGUGGAAAGGAGUAAUAGAAUAUUAUGUACUUUUUUUAUUCUUUUUUUUUUUGAAAUAGAACAAAACCUGAACAAAAACCAAACUCAAACUGUUUUUUUUUUUUUUUUUUUUUUUUUUUUUUUUUNNNNNNNNNNNNNNNNNNNNNNNNNNNNNNNNNNNNNNNNNNNNNNNNNNNNNNNNNNNNNAAACUUUUUUUUUUUUUUUUUUUUGUAUUUUUGUCUUUCUGGAAUUUGAACUCAACUAAAAAUGGAUCCAAAAUGAGAAGAAAAUAAUAAACUCCCUAUAGAACCCUAAUUUUUUUACCUCCCUUUUCUCUCAAUUUCUUUUUCCUAAAAUCCUCCUCUAUAUAUAGAGGCUAGAACCUUCUAUGCUUCCUCCCCACGAAAUCUGAAAUCCAUUUCCAUAUAAAAAAUCAGAAAAAUGGAGGGCUUUGGAUCAUAAUUACCUUAUCCGAGGUCCACAUGUUACUAAUCUUUUACCUAAUAGAUCCGGGUUUGCUCCAAGAGGAAUGAAAACCGCGUGGAAAUCUGGAUGAAAUCAUUUUGUUGCCAGAGUUUGUUAGGGUUUAGUAACGUGGAAGAAGGGAACGAGAGGAGGGGGGACCAUGAGGGGACCAUGUGAGUGAACUUGCCGGGUUUGGGGGAGUUCCGGCGAUUUUGAAGUGGCAGGGUCGCGAGCAGAGUGAAGAGAACAAGGGGGGUCGCCGUUUGGUGAGAGUCUCUUUAGGGUUGAGGUUUUGGGGAAUAUUAGGUUUUUAUGUUAUGGUGGGGAUUACUAUGGGUCAUUGGAUAAAGGGGGAUGAAUGGCCGAGAUUAAAAUUAAAACGGGGCGGGUUUUGGGUUGAAAAUGGGUUAGGAGGAAUUGGGUUGCCAGAUUGGGCCUUUCCUUGUAUAAAAUUGGGCUAAAAUUUGUGCUUCUUCAAUUUUUCAAAGUCCGUUAAAUAACCACCCCAAUCUUUUAAAUUAAAACUAAACUAAUUUCAAUUAAUUAAAUAAACUAUGUAAUAAUAUGAAACUAUAUAUAUAUAAUAUCAUGUUUUAUAUAAAAAGUAAGAGUGAAAAUCAUAACAUAUAUAUAUAUAUAUAUAUAUAUAUAUAUGGCUAUAAAUAUUAAUAACCUAAACUAAAUAGAAAUAAGGUAAAAUAUGAUACUAUAUAAAUUAUUAUACUCAAACUAAAAGUAGAAAUCAUUGUAAAAACAAAAUAUAUUACUAGAAUACUAAUGGUCUUAAGUUAAAAUAAGAAAAUGUAUAUAAUGAAACUAUUAUAUAUAUUUCAAUUUUUUUUCAAUUUUUAUGCCUUUAAAGAUAGAAUUAAAAAUAAUAAAAGUCAAAAAUGUUAUGACCAUUAAAAGUAAUUCUAAUGCGUAAGUCAAAUAUUACAUGUCUAUAGCUGCCCCUCUUUGACGGGAAACACAAGGUGUUUUCAGACAAAGAACAAUAAGACAUGAUUUUUGACCCAACCCUUAUUUAAAGAGAGACCAAAACCUAGAGAAAGAAAAUGUGGUCGAGCCCUGGUCUCGGAGCUGCCUACAUAUUCUUGGCUAUAAAGGAAUCGAGCCACGUGUAGUUCGAAGUGAGAAGUGCGACGGAGUACCGAGGUGGAAAGUAGAUUCGAGUGUCGUCGAGGUUCCAGUUCGUGGUUUCUGCCAUUACAUCAAAAAUAAAAGGGAAACAUUACAGCAAAAUUUAAAGAUAAAUACAAUAUCCUAUCUAUCUUCUUGUCUUGAAACAUCCUUUAAUCUCUACUUGAACUACAAUAUGCAACUGAAAAAUGGACCCUGCUCUUCAGGCAGGCUCCUGAUGCUUCUUGAAUUUGUGAGUUGAAGUAACUCUGAAAUUAAUUCUCUUGUUCUCCAGGUGGGCGCCUGAUUGCUAAAACUUGAAAUGUAUUCCCUCGUUAUCCAGGUGGGCGCCUGAUUUCCAAAUAUUGAGUGUAUGCCCUCAUUAUCCAGGCCUGAUUGCAAUUACUUGAAAUGUAUUCCCUCGUUCUCCAGGUGGGCGUCUGAUUGCAAAGACUUGAAAUGUUUUUUCUCGUUCUCCAGGUGGGCGCCUGAUUGCAAAAACUUGGACUGUAUUCCCUCGUUCUCCAGGUGGCCACCUGAUUGCAAAGACUUGAAAUGUAUUCCCUCGUUAUACAGGUGGGCGCCUAAUUGCAAAAACUUGGAUUGUAUUCCCUCGUUCUCCAGGUGGGCGCCUGAUUGCAAUGACUUGAAAUGUAUUCCCUCAUUCUCUAGGUGGGCGCCUGAUUGCAAAAACUUGGACUAUAUUCCCUCGUUCUCCAGGUGGACGACAGAUCACAAUGACUUGAAAUGUAUUCCCUCGUUCUCCAGGUGGGCGCCUGAUUGCAAAGACUUGAAAUAUAUUCCCUCGUUAUCCAGGUGGGUGCCUGAUUAUAAAAACUUGAAAUGUAUUCCCUCGUUAUCCAGGUGGGCGCCUAAUUGUAAAAACUUGGACUGUAUUCCCUCGUUAUCCAGGUGGGCGCUUGAUUGCAAAAACUUGGAAUGUAUUCCCUCGUUGUCCAGGUGGGCGCCUGAUUGCAAUUACUUAAAAUAUAUUCCCUCGUUCUCCAGGGGGCGCCUGAUUGCAAAGACUUGAAAUGUAUUCCCUCGUUAUCCAGGUGGGCGCCUGAUUACAAAAACUUGAAAUGUAUUCCCUCGUUAUCUAGGCGUGAGCCUUAUUGCAAAAACUUGGACAGUAUUCCCUCGUUCUCCAGGUGGGCUCUUGAUUGCAAAGACUUGAAAAGUAUUCCCUCAUUAUCCAGGUGGGCGCCUGAUUGUAAAGACUUGAAAUGUAUUCCCUCGUUAUCCAGGUGAGCGCCUGAUUGCAAAGACUUAAAAUGAAUUCCCUCGUUAUCCAGGUGGGCGCCUGAUUGCAAAAACUUGAAAUGUAUUCCCUCGUUAUCCAGGUGGACGCCUGAUACUGCAACAAAACAGACAAAACAAAAGAAACUUUUUCUUCCCCGGUUUGG
rnacentral:lncRNA from 1 species